ensembl:lncRNA
AAGUCGUGCUUUGCUACUGCAUGAAGUUCAGCCCGAGAGGAAGAGACGCUUGCCUGGGAGAAUAGCGAGUGCUUGCCCUGGUACCUCUUUCCUGUUCUGACCCCUACCCCAAUUCCAAGGCAUGAGGCACUCCGCUGUGUUCUCAGCAGUGACGACAGAGAACCUUAGUUUCAUCAGUGACGACUCAAGCAUUUCCCAGGCUGAGACCCCGAGUAGGUCCCCAAUGGCUCCAGUUCAAACCUGCUAG